rnacentral:rRNA from 1 species
GAUGAACGCUGGCGGCGUGCCUAAUACAUGCAAGUCGAGCGGAAAGGCCCUUCGGGGUACUCGAGCGGCGGACGGCUGAGUAACGCGUAGGAACGUACCCCAAAGUGAGGGAUAACUGCUCGAAAGAGUAGCUAAUACCGAAUGUGCUCUUCGGAGUAAGGCUUCGGCGCUUUGGGAACGGCCUGCGUCCUAUUAGCUAGUUGGUGAGGUAAUUGCUCACCAAGGCGACGAUAGGUAGCUGGUCUGAGAGGAUGAUCAGCCAGACUGGGACUGAGACACGGCCCAGACUCCUACGGGAGGCAGCAGUAGGGAAUUUUCCACAAUGGGCGAAAGCCUGAUGGAGCAACGCCGCGUGCAGGAUGAAUGCCUUCGGGUUGUAAACUGCUUUUAUAGGUGAAGAAUAUGACGGUAACCUAUGAAUAAGGAUCGGCUAACUCCGUGCCAGCAGCCGCGGUAA